rnacentral:rRNA from 1 species
AUUGAACGCUGGCGGCAUGCUUUACACAUGCAAGUCGAACGGUAACAGGCCGCAAGGUGCCGACGAGUGGCGAACGGGUGAGUAAUGCAUCGGAACGUGCCCAGUCGUGGGGGAUAACGCAGCGAAAGCUGCGCUAAUACCGCAUACGAUCUCUGGAUGAAAGCGGGGGACCGAAAGGCCUCGCGCGAUUGGAGCGGCCGAUGUCAGAUUAGGUAGUUGGUGGGGUAAAGGCUCACCAAGCCAACGAUCUGUAGCUGGUCUGAGAGGACGACCAGCCACACUGGGACUGAGACACGGCCCAGACUCCUACGGGAGGCAGCAGUGGGGAAUUUUGGAUAAUGGGCGCAAGCCUGAUCCAGCAAUGCCGCGUGCAGGAAGAAGGCCUUCGGGUUGUAAACUGCUUUUGUACGGAACGAAACGGUCCUGGUUAAUACCUGGGGCUAAUGACGGUACCGUAAGAAUAAGCACCGGCUAACUACGUGCCAGCCGCCGCCGUAAUAC